rnacentral:lncRNA from 10 species
CUUACUUUGUCACCCAGGCUGGAAUGCAGUGGCAUGAUGAUAGUUCACUACACCGUUGAAUUCCUGGGCUUAAGUGAUUCUCCCGCAUCAGCCUCCCCCGUAUACACCCAUUUCUCAGUUCAGUGAAUCAACUGGAUGUUGCCGUAUGUUGGAAGACAUACCUUCAUCUUACAUCCUUGAUUUCUGUGAAUUCGCACCUGAAAGACAACAGAUCUCAUAUCAAGCUUACUGAAAACAACAACAAAAAACCCCAUAAAACUUUCAAAUACCAAGUUUUCUUUGUUCAGCCAAUGAGUAUUCAUUGUGCACCCAUGAGGGGCUAAUGCCACUCUGCAAGGCCUUUUGAGAGAGGGCAGAGGAUGCCUGGCUCAGGGCCACUUUCCACUUAGAAAUAUCUACAGGCUUUUUUCUCUGUUCCCUCCUCCACUUGAGCCUUUCUCAGUGUCUGAUGUGGCACUGUUGUCACCAGAUGGUCACUCAACCUUUCAAAAGCUUUGCUAAUUUUCACUAGCUUCCUGCCUGGCAAAAAUGGGAGAAAAUUAAGUUCUGCUUUGCAGAUGCGGCUUGUGAAAACCAUUCAUUGUGGCAUUCAUUGCAGCCACCCUUCAUGAUCACUCCUGGGGCUGUCCUUUCUUUGGUGGAAGGCUUUUGGAUUUAGGGAAAGUGCCUUAGCACACAGCAGCGUUUUCACUAACAAUUGGUUGUAAAAUCUUGGGGUCACUCUCGAGAUGGAAGAAGUCUGAGAGAUUAUCUGGUGUAACAUUCAUGUUUCCAAAAGGAAACUGAGAUCCAAAAAGCCAAAUCCUUUGGCCAAAAACACAUGGCCUAAUUUUACUCACUUUCUGUGAUUUGGGGCUAGUUUCCAAAAGUCUUCAGCACUGUGUUUUUUUCUUUUUUUCUUUUGCUCAUGGAUACUUCUGACAGUCAUUCUUGUACUCCUCAAGUUAUUAAGGUUCAAUGUAGUCAAAUUCAACUUUACUCAGAUUCCACUGGAGGGUAGGUCAUACAAUUGUAAAGAAGCAGACAGGUUGUGUUGCAGGACAUACCAAGAUUGUUUAGUUCUGAUUAAUACUAAAAAUCCAGCUGGGUGCAGUGGUUUAUGCCUGGAAUUCCAGCACUUUGGGAGGCCGAGGCGGGUGGAUAACUUGAGGUCAGGAGUUUGAGACCAGCCUGGCCAACAUGGUAUGAAACCCUGUCUCUACUAAAAAUACAAAAAUUAGCCAGGUGUGGUGGCACAUGGCUCUAAUCCCAGCUACUCACGAGGCUGAGGCAUGAGAAUCGCUUGAACCUGGGAGGCAGAGGUUGUAGUGAGCUGAGAUCAUGCCACUGCACUCCAGCGUGGGCGACAGUAUAAAACUAUGUCUCCGCACCCCCCCGCCAAAAAAAAACCAUUGAGGCAGCUGCCUCAGCAGGAAGACAUGUGGCUCUGCCCCUGUUGUUUCUAGGACCCUGAGCAUUUGGUGGCAUUGAUUUGUCUUCCAGUGUUAUUUGUUUUAUUCAUCUUUGUUGUAGACAAGUCGUGACCAAGAUCCUCUAAGAGACAGCUGUGGUAGGCAGGCUUCUCAGAUGGCCCAUGAUGAACACCACUGCCUGGUUUGAUGGCCAUGUGCUAUUCUCUCCCCUUGAACAUGGGUUAAGCCUAGUGACCUGCUUGUAACCAACCAACUCCAGCUAAGCUGAAGGGAUGCCACAGUUUUCAAGCUUCAAGGAUUAGCUUACAAAAGACUGUGACUUCCUUUUUGCUGAUGGACUCUCUUUAUUGCCUUCUUGGCUUGAAGACUUUGAGGAAGCAAGCUGCCAUGAUGAAGAAGCCAACAUGACAAGGAACUUCUGAGGGUGGCUGCCAGCCAACAGCAGCAAGGAACUGAGACUAUAAGUUCAACUGUCUGAGAGGAACUGAAUCCUGAAAACAGUCUCAUGAGCUUGGAAGCAAGUCUUCCCCAGUUGAGCCAUAAGAUGGCUACAGCCCAGCUCACACCUUGAUUGCAGCCUGCGGAGAGACCCCGCAGUGGAAGAUGCAGUUACACCCUUCCCAGCUCCCUGACUUACAGAAGCUAUGAGAUAAUAAACAUGUGUUGGUUUAAGCUGCCACAUUUGAAGAAAUGUGUUAUGUAGCAAUAGAUAACUAAUAUGAUAGGAAAAAAGGUAAGACAAGGUUGUAAGCAUAAGUUUAAGUGCAUUGCCAGCCAUACUAAUUUUUGCAUCACAAAUGACCUGAAUUUGACAAUUUCAAAAUGUAAAGCAUUUUGAAUGAAAGUGCAUUCAGACAAGAACAUGUGAGAGUCCUCUGUAUCUUUUAAAUCCACAGAGGCAAUGAAGCAGCACUCGUGACUUAAUAUGCAAUUUGAAUUGCACCAGACUUUUCAGAUGAAAGCAAUUGAAAAAUGUGGAGGGAAGAUGAAGUGAUAAUUGCCAUUUUCCUUUUAAUACUUACACAAAUCAUGACAGAAACUAUUUAUUGGACACCUGAUAAUAAUAAUUUGCAGCUUAUUUCAAGGAAUUCUCUCACCAACUCUAUGAUGGAGGUAGAUUAUCCCAAUUUUUCAGGUGAGAAAAAAAUGCAUUGGUGAGUUUCCCAACCCUUACUUGGUGACAGCGAUGAUGUUGGGACCCAGUGUGUCUCACUUUAAAGGCUGUGUUCAUAGUUUUCAAGCUUAAAAAGUUGUCUGAAGUGGCUGGGUGCGGUGGCUCAUGCCUGUAAUCCCAGCACUUUGGGAGGCUGAGGCGGGUGAAUCACUUGAGGUCAGGAGUUCAAGACCAGCCUGGCAAACAUGGUGAAGUCCUGUCUCUAUCAAAAAUACAAAAAUUAGCUGGCGUCGUGGCACACGCCUGUAAUCCCAGCUACUCAGGAGGCUGAGGCAGGAGAAUUGCUUGAACCCAGGAGGUAGAGGUUGCAGUGAGCUGAGAUUGUGCCACUGCACUCCAGCCUGGGCAAUAGAGUGAGACUCUAACUCGGAAAAAAAAAAAGUUGUCUGAAGUGACAACUAUUCCUCUCCUCUGCUUUGUUCAACCAAUGGUAGCAGGUCAUUACAAAAGCUACCUUUAUUUUGUUAAAAAAACAAAACAAAAUGAAUUUUCUGAGUCUAAAAGCCACUCUUUUUCCAAGGAUAUAUUUGCAAUUAAUCAUAUUCUGAGUUGCGAUUUUUUAAACGCUUGCCCUCUGUGUCAGUUUUAUUAUUACUUAGGCUUUUUUCAUCCUGCAGAUUUUUGUGUUGUAUUCACAAUUAAAUUAGUUUUUUUUUUUUGAGGGCAGGAAUAGUUUUUUAAUACUUUCAUGUCUCCAGCCACAUUUGUCACUGUAUUUUGCAAAUAAUAACCAUCUGGUAAAUCUUUUUUGAUGAAUUUGAUUAACUCUGAAAUGAAAACGGUAAUGACCUGAGGGAUUGUUUCUUUCUAGGAAACUGUCAGCCUCGUCUAAGGGACCAGAGCUGCCAGGAAAGAACCAUGAUCAGUGUUGUUCAGAGAACCAGGAGAAAUUGCUGCAAGAUCAGUCUUACGAAUUCUCUCUGCUGCAGCUUUGCUCCUGGACCACUUCUGAGAGGGAUCAUGGGUAAAUCAGGAUGAUUAAACAUCUGGGUUUGCCUGGGACUGAUGGGUCUUCACUACAGUCUCAGGCAAAUGAGGAUGAAAUGCUCUUCCUAGCAAGCAUGUGCAUUUCGUGGGAAGGGAUGUGCUUUUGCAUCUUUGUGUGGCUUGUUUUUUCUAUGACUUUAAACCUAACCAACCAACCGACCAACUGAUCAAUCAACCAAACAACCAACUUCUGGGUGUCUUAAAAGGUGUACUGGAGCCUACUGUUUCAUAAGUGUUGUAUGUUUUCUAUCGUAAAUGUUAGCUAGAUUUAAACAGCAGUUUUAGUACGGAAGAUCUAGUGGUAUUUUGGAGGUCACUAUCAUCAAUAUUUAGCUGUAAUGUGCAGACAAGGCUCCUGGGUCUGUUCCAUGUCACAGAUCUCCUUUGAAGUCCUGGAGAGUUUUGCCCACUGAGCCACUAUGCAGGGGACAGACAGGAAUAAAGCUGGUUAUUAGCAUGCACUCCAGGUCCAAGAGAGCUGUAUCAAAAGCUCACACACCAGGCUAUUUAAUUUGUUGGCUGCUCAGUGGAAAGAGGCCUGCUGAGCAGGCUGGGUUGGAAGAAUUAAAUGGAGAGAAAUAUAAACCAGUAUAAUUCACACUACUGUUUCUUGGCUGCACUCACAUGUGGAUAAAAAAUUUUUUCCUACCCUAGAGCUGGCAUAUUUGUUUUGCCACUUUGAGCUAGUACCCUGGCAGCUGAAAGUUGGUGGAGAAAAUCACACAACUGAGCUGACUGCUUUUUAACUUUUGGUAAUUUUGAACUUCCAUUUGUCAUUGCCUGGUAGUUGGAUUGUGUUUCUCUAGUAGGUGGUCUUUCCCGAACUUUCUUCUUGCCCUCAAACCACACAUAUCCUUUCCUUCAGCAGACAAUCUUGCCUCCUUCUUCAAGGAGAUAAACAAAUAGGUCAUCAGCUUUGGUCCUAUAACUUGUCACCACCAACUACAACAGUCUACCUCUACCUUCUGCCA